rnacentral:lncRNA from 1 species
CCGACUAACCAAUAUAAUAGUUUUCUUUGGAAUGUAUGUCAGCCUUUGGGUGUGCUUGGUUGACACAAUUUUUGCCGAAAAGCUUACUACGAGUGAGGCCUUAGUUUUAUCUUUUAUUUUAGUUAAGUCAUUACCUAACCAUUCUAGAUGAUAAUAGAAGUAAAAGCAACCACAGCUGUUAAGUCAUACAUUACUUGACAACAGGAGAUUUUAUAUUGCAUGAGUUGAUACUACGAUGCUCAACAGUGAUCAAGUGCAUUCAUAACCGAGAAUUGCGGCGAUCCGGAUCUAAUUACAUCCUGCAGGAGAGUACCCCGAUCACCAGCAUUAUACGACUGUUCCGGUCGUAUCUCACAACCUCUCGAUUAGCAAAGUCAAUGAUUAGGAAUACAACUACCCGGACCCAGGGAUGCACCCCCACAUGGGACCCCACGUCUGGCCUGAUCUCCAUGUGAGUUUCAGGCUACACCCCUGCCAAUCUCCAGCACGUCAAAUGCGGGUACGAAGCAUUCCUGAUCAUAGAAUUUACUAAUCUACUGGGCUUUACUGGUCCCAUACCCAGUAAGUGAUCAGAUGUUAUCACUUGAUCAGCGGUUAAGACACGAAUCGGGCCUUAACCAGAUUAAUCUAGCAG